AUUGAACGCUGGCGGCAGGCUUAACACAUGCAAGUCGAGCGGGGGAAGGUAGCUUGCUACCGGACCUAGCGGCGGACGGGUGAGUAAUGCUUAGGAAUCUGCCUAUUAGUGGGGGACGACAUCUCGAAAGGGAUGCUAAUACCGCAUACGUCCUACGGGAGAAAGCAGGGGAUCACUUGUGACCUUGCGCUAAUAGAUGAGCCUAAGUCGGAUUAGCUAGUUGGUGGGGUAAAGGCCUACCAAGGCGUCGAUCUGUAGCGGGUCUGAGAGGAUGAUCCGCCACACUGGGACUGCGACACGGCCCAGACUCCUACGGGAGGCAGCAGUGGGGAAUAUUGGACAAUGGGCGGAAGCCUGAUCCAGCCAUGCCGCGUGUGUGAAGAAGGCCUUAUGGUUGUAAAGCACUUUAAGCGAGGAGGAGGCUACUAGUAUUAAUACUACUGGAUAGUGGACGUUACUCGCAGAAUAAGCACCGGCUAACUCUGUGCCAGCCGCCGCAGUAA
rnacentral:rRNA from 1 species